GUCCGACGUACGUCGAACGUGACCGACUGAAUGGGAACGUCUUGGUUACAUAGGUAACCCUCGUUCCCUGAAGGAGGGAAUGGAGACGUACGUCCCGUCGCCACAGUCGCUGUACCCCGCUGAUGCUGCCGCCUAUCCUGUUCGGCUCCUCAGCGAAAACCUAAAGAUGCAACGCACCUGCUGCUCAUUACCUAUGUAACCGAGACGUUCAUCUUUUACAAAACUCUUUUUCUACACGCAGCCCUCUUGGUCAGGUGCAGCUGGUGCUAAACAUUUUUUGGGAGGCGCAAACAAACUGAAUCACACUGUUAAUGCAGGACUGAAUGUAAUUGUUAAAUAAGCAUUUAACAAGUGAUAUAAUAAUGUAUCAUUAAUGCUUAGUUAAAAAAUGGAAGUUGAAAAUUCUACUGUUAAAGCAUGAAAUAAAGUACCAUGAACCAGUGAAUUUGAGUUUAAUAUGGGUGUAUUAUCAGCAGGGUUUAAAUUGGGCCCGGGCUAUCCGGGGCUAAGCCCCGGCACAUCAUUUAUAAAAUGAUGCAGUUAAUCAACAUCACAGAAGAGAGGUGUUUUCUGUGUUAUUGAAAUCACGAUUGAAAAUAUGACUGACUGAUAUCAUAUCAAUAAACAAGUAGUUAAAAUUAA